UACGUAGGCGGCAAGCGUUGUUCGGAAUUACUGGGCGUAAAGAGUACGUAGGUGGUUUGCCAAGUCCGAUGUGAAAUCUCCUGGCUUAACUGGGAGGGUGCGUUAGAUACUGGCAGGCUUGAGUGUGGGAGAGGAGAGCGGAAUUCCUGGUGUAGCGGUGAAAUGCGUAGAUAUCAGGAGGAACGCCUGUGGUGUAGACGGCUCUCUGGACCAUUACUGACACUGAGGUACGAAAGCUAGGGGAGCGAACGGG
rnacentral:rRNA from 1 species